rnacentral:rRNA from 1 species
AUUACGCUUGCAAAAGUGAAACUCAAAGGAAUUGACGGGGACCCGCACAAGCGGUGGAGUAUGUGGUUUAAUUCGAUGCAACGCGAAAAACCUUACCAGGGUUUGAAAUAAUUUCAAAACUUCUUGAAAGAGAAGCCUCCUUCGGGAUGGAAUUACAGGUGGUGCAUGGCUGUCGUCAGCUCGUGUUGUGGAAUGUCAAGUUAAGUCUUGUAACGAGCGCAACCCAUGUCUCUUGUUGCUGUUUACAGUGCUUAAGAGAAACUGCCGAUCAACAUCGGAGGAAGGUGUGGAUGAUGUCAAGUCAGCAUGCCCCUUACAUCCUGGGCUACACACGUACUACAAUGGUCGAGACAAAGGGUCGCUAACCUGCGAAGGUAUGCCAAUCUCAUAAACUCGAUCUCAGUUCGGAUUGUACUCUGCAACUCGAGUACAUGAAGGUGGAAUCGCUAGUAAUCGCUGGUCAGCAUACAGCGGUGAAUACGUUCCCGGGUCUUGUACACACUGCCCGUCACACCAUAGAAGUCGACCCUUCCCUAAGUCGUUACUCGAACCUGUAAAGGACGAGGACGCCGAAGGCAGAGUUGGUGACUAGGGUGAAGUCGUAACAAGGUAACC